UCUCUUACACAGAAGCUUCUUACUUUGCAACUUUUGCUAGUCUGCAUGUAAAAAUGCAUUAAAUCCCGUUUCCUCCCAAUGUUGGGCAUUUUAUGGUACCUAAGUCACAGAUCUUUAAAAGGAGUUUGAAAGUAGUAACUACCAGCAGAUGGAACAUUCUAGAUAAUUCCCUUAACAUCAGUUUAAUUUAGUUUCCUCAUUUAUCAAGUAAGGAUAACAAUGCUAACUUCACAUUUAUUUCUGUUCUCACACCUCUGGCUAUAUCUCAUAGGAAAAUAUUUUAGAACUAUUUACUAGGACAUAGGUUAAAGAAUUACAAAUAAUGUUGACAAAUAUUGUUCAUAAACAUGAACAUGAAGACAAAACUUUUAAACUAAAAAGUUCUACACCUGACCAAAAAACUGUUACCAUUAUGAGCACUUAGCAUAUGAUACGUGCUUUAUAUGAAAUAUUGCUAAUCUGUACAAGCACCCUCUCAGGGUAAGUAUUAUCAUUCCCUAUUAUUUCUCUGGGGCUCAGAAGUGAGAUUUGAAACCAAGGUGUUAACCCAGGUCCAUCUGAGUCCUGCCUCUUCAUUUUUCUAAUACUUGUCUGGACUCAGCCAAGUCUACUUGAGUUAGAUUUCCCAAGAAUCCUCCACAUAGUUUUAAAAAUAGGGUUUGGAUUUUGAAAGAGACUGAUUUAUGUUUUCUAAUUCACUGGCUGUUCAUCAAACCAUUUUGUCAUUUUAAGGCUUGCUCGGAUUACUUUGUCAUAUUGAUCCUAAAAUAAUAAUAAUAAAAGAUGUAGAAAAUCUGAGUAACAUACUUGCUGUUUGAGACUGAGUCUCCAGCCUAAUAAAUGGGUUAACAAAUAGACUAGUAAAAUAGGAUAAAAGACACAACAUAUCUUUUUAAAAUGUAAAAGUCUACCUUAAUUCAUCUCCCUGUUGUUGGGCAUAGUGGUGUGUGUUGGAUGUUCUGGUAUUUAUAGAAACAAAGUAGAGUCAAAUACUCAUUCUAGCAACAGAAUUUUUCAGUCUCCAUUUCAGAGAAAACAGUAUUUUGUCCCAACUGCUUGACAUUUUCCUAGCAGGAAGAACAAUGAAGAAAAUAACAAAAUUGAUAGAUAGUCCUUAGAUCUAGAGCAUCAAUAGAGGCUUAGUCAAAGGUAGUCAGUUCAAUUAAAUGGUGGCUAAAGCCAGGUGGGUUUAGGGUAACCUGGUUUAAGAUACUAUUGAGCACUUGAUUUGGGGGAGGGUGUCUUUAUUUAGAGCAAAAGAUGUGUGUUGCUGGGACAGAUAACAAAAGAAUAGAACUUGAAGGAUGAGUAGGGAAAAGGGAGCAAAGGUAGGUAGGUGAGAACAAGAAGCCAAUCUGCUUUUGAAGGGUCAGCUUUUGAAACAUGUAUUCAGGUUUCAUUAUCAGUGUUCUUUACCAAGACCAAAGCAAUUUGAAUCACUCGGAUCCCAGCAGGCUCGGUGUGGCUCCCACCACUGUAUUUUUUUCACUGACAUCUUUUUUUUUUAAUUGAAGUGUAGUUGAUAUGCAAUCUUGGUUAGUUUCACGUAUACAACACAGUUCACCACUGUGUUCUUAAGUUACAGCGAGUAUAAGGAAUUAAGAAUACUGGGACAUAAACUUUAUAUUGACCCUAAAAGAAAAUUUAUUUUUUAAAUUUAAAAAUAAUUCUCCUACCAUCCCCACCUCCUCACUACAUUAGCGGUUUUAAGGCAUCUUUGUUGGGUUCUACAUGAAUUGGGAGUUUGCAUUGGCUGUAAAAUUGAUUUUGUUUGAAUUUUAACAUGCUAAUAAAAUUCCUUAAUUAGC